rnacentral:rRNA from 1 species
CGGUUAGACUAAAAGACCUAGUUAUAUAAUUAAGGUAAAAAGGUGGUUAAAUACUUAAUUAAAUAGCUUCAUAAUUUAUUGUAAAAAAGUGAAAUUUGAAUACAAAUAAAUAAAUCAAAAGUAGCUAAAGAGGGAUUGAAUCCACUAUAGCUUUGGGGGAAACUGGGAUUUGAUACCCCAUUAUUCUUAGCUGUAAAUAAAUGUUAGAUUUACCAGAGCACUAUGAAUUAUAAAAUUUAAAACUCAAAGAGCUUGGCGGUGUUUUAGACCAUUUAGGGGAACCUGUCUCAUAAUCGAUAAUCCACGAUAAACCUGACCUUUUAUUGCAAUUCAGUUUGUACACCGUUGUCAUCAGGUAACUUUUUAGAAAAAUUAAGUUAGCAAUAAAAUUUUAAUAAAUUUAAAUGUCAAAUCAAGGUGCAGCUGAUAAAAAGGAGAGGAUGGGUUACAAUUAAAAUUUAUAAAAUGAAUCGGAUAGUGAAACCUAGCCGUGAAGGAGGACUUAAAAGUAAAGUUAUCUAUAAAAAUGAUUUGAAUUAGGCUCUGAAAUGUGUACUAACCCCGC